rnacentral:tRNA from 1 species
CAAGUUAGAGCUUGUUAUGAGUAUUUUAUUUACAUUAAAAGGGUAAUUGUUAAAGUCAAUUUAACUUGA